rnacentral:rRNA from 1 species
AACGAACGCUGGCGGCAUGCCUAACACAUGCAAGUCGAACGAGACCUUCGGGUCUAGUGGCGCACGGGUGCGUAACGCGUGGGAACCUGCCCUUAGGUUCGGAAUAACUCCCCGAAAGGGGUGCUAAUCCCGGAUAAUGUCUUCGGACCAAAGAUUUAUCGCCUUUGGAUGGGCCCGCGUUGGAUUAGCUAGUUGGUAGGGUAAAAGCCUACCAAGGCGACGAUCCAUAGCUGGUCUGAGAGGAUGAUCAGCCACACUGGGACUGAGACACGGCCCAGACUCCUACGGGAGGCAGCAGUGGGGAAUAUUGGACAAUGGGCGAAAGCCUGAUCCAGCAAUGCCGCGUGAGUGAUGAAGGCCUUAGGGUUGUAAAGCUCUUUUACCCGGGAUGAUAAUGACAGUACCGGGAGAAUAAGCUCCGGCUAACUCCGUG